AUGAUUAAACCUUUGCUGCUGCCGGCCAAGUGGUACACUGUUGGGAGCCUCCCACAGGCAGCAGCUUGCACCCAGAGCUGCCCUUGUCCCCGCCUGCAUCACCUUUGUCCUUGGAGCACUGACUUCCUCUGCCCCUGGGAAAGACAGAGCAGGUUAAAAAGUUGGCCUGGCCUCUGUUGUCACGUUUUUAUGAAUGGCCGCUCACAGAAGCAGGUGUGGAAGAGUACAAAGGGCUGUCCGUGCGCUGGAGACCGAAAGGAUCCAGUUGAAGGCCCAGAGCUCACAGUGGUGUCCCCUGCAAGUCUGUAUCAGGAGGCCGAAUGGUCUGUGCUAGAGACUGAAGAUGGAGGAGAUGGAAUCGCUGGAAGCCGGGAGCUGAAGGCCAAGGUGGAGGUGAAGACUGGAGCUCCUUCAACAAACACAGCAGGCCAGGGUCUACAGUCCUAUGGCAGUGUCCGACUCGGGCUGCGUCUCUGCUCUCACAGCUGUUGUAGCGCCCAGCAUCCACUGCUGGUCCCACUGGUGCCUUUGUCCCUAGAGGCCACUGGAGUCAUUGCUUUCACUGUGUCUCUGUAAAUUCCGCCGUCCUUGCUCACCUCAUGAGCCAGGAGCCGGGGAGGUUGCCCCUUGUUUUUUCUGCGUUGAAGUCUGUCUCUUCACUUCCUCUGUAGGCUCUGAUUUUCCCUUCAGAUUCUUCCCGGGUGCUGGGGAUCCACCUCCCUCCUUAUUUUCUCCCCCAACUUGUGAUUUUCCAGGGUCUGGAUUUUGAAUCUAGGAGAGGUUGAUUUGUUGCUGCUUAAAACUCUGCCAUCUUUCUGGAAGUUUUCAUCAGCCAUUUUUCCCAGUGUUGAAACCACAGGGUUCCAGCACUGUGGAGGUGUUCCAGCACCGGGUUCCAGCAGUCUAGGAGGCUGAGGCGCGAAGAUAACAAGUUGGAGUCCAUCCAGCCUAGGCUACUUAACAACUUAGUAAGACUCUAAGAACAUCACAGAAGACAUUUUAAAAUGACUUUAGCAAAAAAUAAAUAAAUAAAGCAAUACACUACAUUUAGAAGAGCCAGGCAUGGUGGCACAUGCCUGUAAUCCCAGCACUCCGGAGGCUGAGGCAGGAGGAUCGUUGCGAGUUUGGGAACAGCCUUGGCUACAAAGUGAGCUUAAGGCCAGUCUGAAUUCUAUAGUGAGAUCCAGUCUCAAAAAGACAAAAAAAAAAAAAAACUACAUUUAUAAUAUAAAUGAUUGUUCUCUCUCAGGAGGCACUUUCAAGGGCAAACUUUGGGGCUGCAGCCAGAGAUGAAUCAAAUGGCACAUCUGAACCCAAGGGGCUUCUAACAACUCUUGUCAGUGCUUCUCUGCGCCAUCUCCCCAGAUUGCCCCCACACACCCACAGGCGUACGUCCCUCCCUAAAGUGGGUCAGCUCCUCUGAGAAGCAGCACCUUCCUUCGCUCCAGUAGCCAGAGCCCUGGUGUUUCCUGAAGGAGACUUUGACUAGGUCCCGAUUUAUCCUCUCCCAAAGAGGAGACCACCUGCUUGCAGGGCUGGCCCUGGGCUGUGCCAGUGCCUCCCCAACUUCAAAUUCUCUCUAUGUAGGUCCAGAAAAUGAGGCACUGACAUGAGAACAUCUUUUUUAAAGAAAAAAAUGUGUCUCUAAUAUGUAAAAAUAGAAAAGUAUAAGAAGAGAAAGGAAUGAAUGGAGAGUGAGACAGAAAGGGAGGUGGGAUAAGAAGAGAGAAGGGACUUUAGCCACUCAGAACCCAGGUCUGUGUCCUAGUGCCUAGGACAGUGCUGGGCAAAUCGUGGCUUUCAACCAACGUUUGUUGAAUGAAAACAAAAAGAGAAAAAUUUAAUAGGCAACAGGGAAGAAGAUGCCCCAAAACCAUGGGACUACCCAGAUCCUUCCUGACCUGACGAGGACUCAUGACUGCCCUUCAGCCCACGGAGGAAGCAGGCAGGGGUGAGAACUCAGCACCCGGGGCAGGUGCUACCAGUCAGGGGACAGCUCAGCACGCAGACUGCUUCUCUGAGGCAAGAAUCCUUGCCAGUCUUCUGCCCUUUCUUUUUCUCCACCUUAAAAACAUUGUUUUGAUGCAAGGAAGAGUCAUUGCCUUCAUUUGAAACAAUUCCCAAACAGGAUAUAGCAUCUCAAACAGCUCCUGGGCCCUUGGCAAUCAUGGUGUGCAGGUGUUUCAUGCAAGUGCCGGGCAGCACGUACAGCAGAGCCCCGGCGAGCCCUGGGCGGAGGCCUGGAGAGCAGCCCAGGGCACCCGGGGUGGUGGCACUGAGCCCUGCAGCAUCCCCUGGGUUCCGGGAACCAGAACGCUUCCCACACACCUCUCCCUGGCCUCUUGCUAGCCUCACUUCCAGCCCCCUGUGCAGCAUAGUAGGAAUCACAUUUUCCCUCUCGAUAGUUCUGAAACUCAUAUGAAUUUAAAAGGAAAAAAAAAAAGCAUAGUCCCAAAGAGAAAAAAUUAAGCUGCAGUGAACAAAAUGGAAGAAAGGAAAAUAGAGAAGGAUUACCUGGUAACAAAUACAAAAACAGGAUGGGCUUUCACUGACACGGCCCAGAACAAACAUGCAAACACUGAUACCACUGAGAAAAAGGUUCACUGGCUAGAAAAAAAACAACAGUACACACACACACAUAUAUUUUUAAUCCAAGUUUCUAAACAUAAAUAGAAACAAGGAGUAUUAAAGCAUGGAGUCCUAUCUCUAACGCAUAAAGCUUUCCUAGUAACCCUGCACAGAGUUAAACCUGGAGUCACCAUAUUAUCCAGCAGUUACACCCCACGAGCGAUGAAAAACCUCCAGAUGAAAAUUUGUAUAGGGCUGGGUAAACAGUUCAGUGGCAGAGAACUUGUCCAGCAUGCAUAAGCCUUACAUUCAGUCCCCAGUACCGAAAAGGAAAAUUGAAAAACGUGGACAUGGAUGUUUAUAGCAACAUCUUCAUAACAGCUAAAAAGUGGAAACAACUCCAAAGUCCAUCAGGUGGUGAACCAAUAAACAAUCCACACACUGAAAUACUUCAGGGCCUCCCUGAGACCUCUUUCUCAGUGCUCACAAAGGGGAAUGGAGUGCUGGUACUUGCUACGAUACUAUAUUAAGUGACUGAAGCCAGAGAGCACGAGAGCGGGUCACGCUGCAGGGUUCCUUUUUUAUUUAAUAUUGAUAAUAGGUAAAUCUGUGAAGACAGAACAUAGGUUAGUG
rnacentral:lncRNA from 1 species